GUGGGGAAUAUUGGACAAUGGGCGCAAGCCUGAUCCAGCCAUGCCGCGUGUGUGAAGAAGGCCUUAGGGUUGUAAAGCUCUUUUGUCCGGGAAGAUAAUGACUGUACCGGAAGAAUAAGCCCCGGCUAACUUCGUGCCAGCAGCCGCGGUAAUACGAAGGGGGCUAGCGUUGUUCGGAAUCACUGGGCGUAAAGCGCACGUAGGCGGACCAUUAAGUCAGGGGUGAAAGCCUGGAGCUCAACUCCAGAACUGCCUUUGAUACUGAUGGUCUCGAGUAUGGAAGAGGUUGGUGGAACUGCGAGUGUAGAGGUGAAAUUCGUAGAUAUUCGCAAGAACACCGGUGGCGAAGGCGGCCAACUGGUCCAUUACUGACGCUGAGGUGCGAAAGCGUGGGGAGCAAACAGGAUUAGAAACCCCUGUAGUCC
rnacentral:rRNA from 1 species